UCCCUCUUAGCUCGGUUGGUAGAGCGCGUCACUAGUGUUCGAUUCCAUUCAUCUGUUUAAUGACGAGGUCAGUCGUUCAAGUCGGCUAGAAGGAA
rnacentral:tRNA from 1 species